AUUGAACGCUGGCGGCAGGCCUAACACAUGCAAGUCGAGCGGCAGCGGGAAAGUAGCUUGCUACUUUUGCCGGCGAGCGGCGGACGGGUGAGUAAUGCCUGGGAAAUUGCCCAGUCGAGGGGGAUAACAGUUGGAAACGACUGCUAAUACCGCAUACGCCCUACGGGGGAAAGCAGGGGACCUUCGGGCCUUGCGCGAUUGGAUAUGCCCAGGUGGGAUUAGCUAGUUGGUGAGGUAAUGGCUCACCAAGGCGACGAUCCCUAGCUGGUCUGAGAGGAUGAUCAGCCACCCUGGAACUGAGACACGGGCCAGACUCCUACGGGAGGCAGCAGUGGGGAAUAUUGCACAAUGGGGGAAACCCUGAUGCAGCCAUGCCGCGUGUGUGAAGAAGGCCUUCGGGUUGUAAAGCACUUUCAGCGAGGAGGAAAGGUUGAUGCCUAAUACGUAUCAACUGUGACGUUACUCGCAGAAGAAGCACCGGCUAACUCCGUGCCAGCCGCCGCCGUAAAAC
rnacentral:rRNA from 1 species